AUGGAAGUGGAUUGGAGGGACCCAUUCCAUCAAACAUAUCCCUUAUGAAUCAAUUAACUGAAUUCGUACUGUUGAUGGAAUUGCUCAUGGUGUGAUCUCUUUGACCGGGAGAAUUAGUGACAUAAAUUUUAAGGCUGCGGAAUUUCCUACCUUGAGCAACACUACAGGGCUAGUAAGAUUGGUUUUGAGAAACUGCAACAUUUCUGGUGAAAUCCCGAAAUAUAUUUGGAAAAUGAUAAAUCUGCAAAUGUUGUGGAUUCUGUAGUUUACCUUGUUGACGCGUACGACAAAGAGAGAUUUGCAGAGGCCAAAAAGGAGCUGGAUGCCCUACAUAAAAAACAACAACAAUACUGAACAAUACUCAACCUUGUUAACACCAGAUGUUCUUUUUUUUUUGAAAUUGAUGCUAAUUAUGUUAAAUUUUUGUUGGAAUGAAUUGUUUUUUAUUUUUUGGGGUUUAGAAUAGGGUUUUGUGAAUUGUUCCUUGUUUUUGGAAUCAAUGUUGUUGCUGCUGAGUUAUGUGUUGAAACUUGGAUAUAGAAAAUUUUAUAAUAA